UACGGGGGGGGGCAAGCGUUUGUUCGGAAUUACUGGGCGUAAAGGGCUCGUAGGCGGCCAACUAAGUCCGACGUGAAAUCCCCAGGCUUAACCUGGGAACUGCGUCGGAUACUGGAUGGCUUGAAUCCGGGAGAGGGAUGCGGAAUUCCAGGUGUAGCGGUGAAAUGCGUAGAUAUCUGGAGGAACACCGGUGGCGAAGGCGGCAUCCUGGACCGAGAUUGACGCUGAGGCGCGAAAGCUAGGGGAGCAAACGGG
rnacentral:rRNA from 1 species